GACAGAGGUGCCAAGCGUUAGGCGGAAUCACUGGGCUUAAAGCGUGUGUAGGCGGAAUGGUAAGUACCUUGUGAAAUCCCACGGCUCAACCGUGGAACUGCUUGGUAUACUGCUUUCUUGAGCCACUUAGGGGCUGUCGGAACAAACGGUGGAGCGGUGAAAUGCGUAGAGAUCGGAAAGAACACCAACGGCGAAAGCACUCUGCUGGGCCGACACUGACACUGAGAGACGAAAGCUAGGGGAGCGAAUGGG
rnacentral:rRNA from 1 species